UACGUAGGUUCCGAGCGUUGUCCGGAUUUAUUGGGCGUAAAGCGAGCGCAGGUGGUUUAUUAAGUCUGGUGUAAAAGGCAGUGGCCCAACCAUUGUAUGCAUUGGAAACUGGUAGACUUGAGUGCAGGAGAGGAGAGUGGAAUUCCAUGUGUAGCGGUGAAAUGCGUAGAUAUAUGGAGGAACACCGGUGGCGAAAGCGGCUCUCUGGCCUGUAACUGACACUGAGGCUCGAAAGCGUGGGGAGCAAACAGG
rnacentral:rRNA from 1 species